GCAGACCAUACACCCCUAUCUUGUGUGACAAAGAGGCAAUUUCCGAUAGACAGCUCAAAGAAACAUUUCAAAACAUGUUUGAAAAAUACAAAGUGAAAGAAGCUCUAACAAUUCAUUGCACACAAAUUCCUACAUAUCAUUUUUCACAUAGCAUGAUGAAUUCAUAUAGUGAAAAGAUAUAUAUAGGAUUCAUACAACUAAUACCAAACUCGUUUGGAAUUGAGGCAUAGUUGAUUGAUUGAUUGAUCCAUCGAUCAUCAUGAAUUGCUACUAACAAGGCGGGCACCAACUCGAUCAAGCUUCUUCACCAUAGCCAAAGCCUUCAAGUUCCCUUCCUUCAUAAACGCCUCCACCAUUCUCUCCCCAAUCUCCCUCCCUCCCUCUUCAUCAUCCGUCACCGCGACCAAAGUAGGUCCAGCUCCGCUUAUCGUGCAACCAAAUGCCCCAGCCUUCAACGCCGCCUUCUUCACUCCCUCCAUCCCAGGAAUCAACGGCCCUCUCCUCGGCUCCACAAUCUUAUCAGACGACAACGCCUUCCCUAAACCCCUCGAAUCCCCCUGCAAUAUCGCAGCCACCAACGCCCCAGCCUGACUACAAUUCCAUAUAUGAUGCGACAUUGUCACCUCCGAUGGCAAUACCGCCCUCAUCUUCUUCGUUGGAGCUUCGAAUUCGGGAUUCACGAGCACAAAAAACAAAUCUUUUUCAAAUGGAAACUUCAAUGGGAUCAAUUCCAACGGAUCAUAACUUCUUAUCAACACAAAACCACCCAUAAUCGAAGGUGCUAUAUUAUCAGCAUGAUAACCCGAAACCUUCGUUUCCGAUUCCAACCCAGCAAGCACAAGAUCAUCAACACUCAACUUCCGUCCAAAAAUCUCAUUCACAGCCACCGCCGCCGCCGCAGCACUAGCAGCACUAGACCCAAGUCCACUACCCAACGGCAACCCUUUUUCAAGCGAAAUCGAUAAACCAACAGACUGUAUAUUCAACAUCUUCAUAACAGAAAUAGCAGCUAUUCCAGCACAGUUCGAUAAAGGGUCUUUACUAAGCCUACUUCCAGCACCGGAGAUAUCAGAAAUCGAAACCUCCCCAGCUUUAACAUUUGGGUCAACCCGAAGAGUGACAAAAUCUCCGACUCCAUCAACGGCGCAUCCGAGGAAAUCAAAACCCGGACCUAGAUUAGCAACAGUGGCCGGAGCAAACGACUUGACGGAGGUGAAUACGGGUUCGGGUUCGGGUAUGGUGAUAUGGGUUUGGGUUUUGGAGGAGACAGAUGAGAGAUUGAAUCCAAAUGAGAAAUGGGUAUUGAUGGGAUAAAGAGAAGGAGGAUUUGAGAAGCCAUUAGAAGUGAUGAAGUUGAGUUUCAUUGGAGAUUGAAAGGUUAUAGCCAUU
rnacentral:misc_RNA from 1 species